GGGGUUGUGGCUUAGUGGUGCAGCGCUUGCCUCACACAUAUGAGGCACUGGGUUUGAUCCCCAGCACUACA
rnacentral:tRNA from 1 species